rnacentral:rRNA from 1 species
GACGAACGCUGGCGGCGUGCUUAACACAUGCAAGUCGAACGCUGAAGCUUGGUGCUUGCACUGGGUGGAUGUGUGGCGAACGGGUGAGUAAUACGUGAGUAACCUGCCCUUGACUCUGGGAUAAGCCUGGGAAACUGGGUCUAAUACUGGAUAUGACAUGCCACUGCAUGGUGGUGUGUGGAAAGGGUUUUACUGGUUUUGGAUAGGCUCACGGCCUAUCAGCUUGUUGGUGGGGUAAUGGCCUACCAAGGCGACGACGGGUAGCCGGCCUGAGAGGGUGACCGGCCACACUGGGACUGAGACACGGCCCAGACUCCUACGGGAGGCAGCAGUGGGGAAUAUUGCACAAUGGGCGGAAGCCUGAUGCAGCGACGCCGCGUGAGGGAUGACGGCCUUCGGGUUGUAAACCUCUUUCAGCACGGAAGAAGCGAGAGUGACGGUACGUGCAGAAGAAGCGCCGGCUAACUACGUG